rnacentral:lncRNA from 1 species
UUUUUCAAAGCCCACGUGGUGUUCAGAGAAUCAAGGUCAGAAACAAAAGUAAAACAUUAUUGACUCGACCACAAAUAAAUAACAUUUUCAAUUGAUUUAUGUAUCCUUCUUAUUGAACAGUUUACAAAAAAAAGAAGAAAAUCAGAGGAUAUUUCAAUUUUCUGUCAAUGCUUGAGAAAUAAUUGUAUGUAACAGUCUUUCGAGAAAAAAGGGGGGUAACAAAAUGUACAUAGUUGUAUGCAAAUAAAUUUUAAGCAUAAGGUAAAUAAAAUAAAGAACUGACCAUUACACAAAAAAACUUUUUUUACUUUAAUUUCAUACAUAAAAAAUGGUCAUUUGAAAGAUGAAAUUAGCAGCCAGGAGAUUGCGAGAAUGCAGGAUUUUGCUCUAUUUAUGCCAGACCCCUGCCACAAAGCACCAAGCUGUACGGGCAUCUGGCUUUGCCGAACACAUGUGACACCCCCCUUUAAUUUUAAUUUAGCCUACUACUUCCGUUUCAAGGGAAAGCCCUGGUUUUUUUCUGUUUGACUGCCA